GGACGGAGUCCCUCCCUCUGAAGCCCCUCUGUGUGGGGAACAUGACAGCCAGACCAAAGCUCAGAGGACCCAUCGGAGACCAGGACCUGGACCUGGACCCAGCUGUGUGUCCAUGAAGAGUAACCGGUCUAUGAAUCUUCCUAUAGAAUUCAAAGAUGUUGGUCCCCCUGUUGAUGCAAGUUCACAUCAGCAGAGAGGAAAGUCUCCUGAACCCAGAUGUUUGUCCAUGAAGAGUGAUCAGUCUAUUCAUCGUCUGAUUGACUUCAAAGAUGGACGCCGUUCUUAUGACCCAGAAGAGGACCAGGAGAGCUCAGAGGUUCCCACAGGUCCGUCUGCCCAGCAGCAUCAAACACACCUGGACUCCAUCU
ensembl:lncRNA